CGGCUAANUACGUGCCAGCAGCCGCGGUAAUACGUAGNUCCCGAGCGUUGUCCGGAUUUAUUGGGCGUAAAGCGAGCGCAGGCGGUUAGAUAAGUNUGAAGUUAAAGGCUGUGGCUUAACCAUAGUACGCUUUGGAAACUGUUUAACUUGAGUGCAGAAGGGGAGAGUGGAAUUCCAUGUGUAGCGGNGAAAUGCGUAGAUAUAUGGAGGAACACCGGUGGCGAAAGCGGCUCUCUGGUCUGUAACUGACGCUGAGGCUCGAAAGCGUGGGGAGCGAACAGGAUUAGAUACCCUGGUAGUNCACGCGGUAAACGAUGAGUGCUAGGUGUUAGGCCCUUUCCGGGGCUUAGUGCCGCAGCUAACGCAUUAAGCACUCCGCCUGGGGAGUACGACCGCAAGGUUGAAACUCAAAGGAAUUGACGGGGGCCCGCACAAGCGGUGGAGCAUGUGGUUUAAUUCGAGGCAACGCGAAGAACCUUACCAGGUCUUGACAUCCCGAUGCCCGCUCUAGAGAUAGAGUUUUACUUCGGUACAUCGGUGACAGGUGGUGCAUGGUUGUCGUCAGCUCGUGUCGUGAGAUGUUGGGUUAANNNNNNCAACGAGCGCAACCCUUAUUGUUAGUUGCCAUCAUUCAGUUGGGCACUCUAGCGAGACUGCCGGUAAUAAACCGGAGGAAGGUGGGGAUGACGUCAAAUCAUCAUGCCCCUUAUGACCUGGGCUACACACGUGCUACAAUGGCUGGUACAACGAGUCGCAAGUCGGUGACGGCAAGCUAAUCUCUUAAAGCCAGUCUCAGUUCGGAUUGUAGGCUGCAACUCGCCUACAUGAAGUCGGAAUCGCUAGUAAUCGCGGAUCAGCACGCCGCGGUGAAUACGUUCCCGGGCCU
rnacentral:rRNA from 1 species